UAUCGGACGGGGUUGGUAACGCGUGAGAACCUGCUCUAGGCGGGGACAACAGUUGGAAACGACUGCUAUACCCGCAUGAGCCGAAAGGUAAAAGAUUAUCGCCUAGAGAGGGGCUUGCGUCUGAUUAGCUAGUUGGUAAGGUAAAGGCUUACCAAGGCGACGAUCAGUAGCUGGUCUGAGAGGAUGAUCAGCCACACUGGGACUGAGACACGGCCCMKACUCCUACGGGAGGCAGCAGUGGGGAAUUUUCCGCAAUGGGCGAAAGCCUGACGGAGCAAGACCGCGUGGGGGAGGAAGGUUCUUGGAUUGUCAACCCCUUUUCUCAGGGAAGAACAAAAUGACGGUACCUGAGGAAAAAGCAUCGGCUAACUCCGUGCCAGCAGCCGCGGUAAUACGGGGGAUCCAAGCGUUAUCCGGAAUGAUUGGGCGUAAAGAGUCCGUAGGUACCCAAUCAAGUCUGCUGUUAAAGAGCGAGGCUUAACUUCGUAAAGGCAGUGGAAACUGGAAGGCUAGAGUGUAGUAGGGCAGAGGGAAUUCCUGGUGUAGCGGUGAAAUGCGUAGAGAUCAGGAGAACCUCGGUAGCGAAGGCGCUCUGCUGGGUAUACUGACACUGAUGAACGAAAGCUACGGAGGCGAAUGGGAUUACAUACGCAGGUAUUCUACCGCGUUAUCCCCCCG
rnacentral:rRNA from 1 species